rnacentral:sRNA from 1 species
GCUGGGCUUGGUGGUGCGUGCCUGUAAUCCCAGCGGCUCGGGAGGUUGAGGCAGGAGGAUCGCAAGUUCAAAGCCAGCCUCAGCAAAAGUGAGGUGCUAAGCAACUCAGCAAGACCCCGUCUCUA